rnacentral:rRNA from 1 species
ACUGAGCGGCGGACGGGUGAGUAACGCGUGGGUAACCUGCCUCAUACAGGGGGAUAACAGUUAGAAAUGACUGCUAAUACCGCAUAAGCGCACAGUGCCGCAUGGCACGGUGUGAAAAACUCCGGUGGUAUGGGAUGGACCCGCGUUGGAUUAGGCAGUUGGCGGGGUAACGGCCCACCAAACCGACGAUCCAUAGCCGGCCUGAGAGGGUGAUCGGCCACAUUGGAACUGAGACACGGUCCAGACUCCUACGGGAGGCAGCAGUGGGGAAUAUUGCACAAUGGGGGAAACCCUGAUGCAGCAACGCCGCGUGAGUGAUGAAGGUCUUCGGAUUGUAAAGCUCUGUCUUUAGGGACGAUAAUGACGGUACCUAAGGAGGAAGCCACGGCUAACUACGUGCCAGCAGCCGCGGUAAUACGUAGGUAGCGAGCGUUAUCCGGAAUUAUUGGGCGUAAAGGGUGCGUAGGCGGCCAUUUAAGUUCAUGGUGAAAGCGUGGGGCUCAACCCCAUAAAGCCAUGGAUACUGGAUGGCUGGAGUACUGGAGAGGGUAGUGGAAUUCCAUGUGUAGCGGUAAAAUGCGUAGAUAUUAGGAGGAACACCAGUGGCGAAGGCGGCUUGCUGGACGACAACUGACGCUGAGGCGCGAAAGCGUGGGGAGCAAACAGGAUUAGAUACCCUGGUAGUCCACGCUGUAAACGAUGAAUACUAGGUGUGGGAGGACUGACCCCUUCCGUGCCGCAGUUAACACAAUAAGUAUUCCACCUGGGGAGUACGACCGCAAGGUUGAAACUCAAAGGAAUUGACGGGGGCCCGCACAAGCAGUGGAUUAUGUGGUUCAAUUCGACGCAACGCGAAGAACCUUACCAGGACUUGACAUCCAACUAACGAAGUAGAGAUACAUUAGGUGCCCUUCGGGGAAAGUUGAGACAGGUGGUGCAUGGUUGUCGUCAGCUCGUGUCGUGAGAUGUUGGGUUAAGUCCCGCAACGAGCGCAACCCCUAUUGUUAGUUGCUACGAAAGAGCACUCUAGCGAGGCUGCCGUUGACAAAACGGAGGAAGGCGGGGACGACGUCAAAUCAUCAUGCCCCUUAUGUCCUGGGCUACACACGUAAUACAAUGGUGGAAAACAGAGGGAAGCAAAGCCGCGAGGCAGAGCAAAACCCUAAAAGCCAUCUCAGUUCGGAUUGCAGGCUGCAACUCGCCUGCAUGAAGCUGGAAUUGCUAGUAAUCGCGGAUCAGAAUGCCGCGGUGAAUACGUUCCCGGGCCUUGCACUCACCGCCCGUCA